GAUGAACGCUAGCGACAGGCUUAACACAUGCAAGUCGAGGGGCAGCAUAAAAGUAGCAAUACUUUGGUGGCGACCGGCGCACGGGUGAGUAACGCGUAUGCAACCUACCUAUCAGAGGGGAAUAACCCGGCGAAAGUAGGCCUAAUACCGCAUAAAACAGGGGCACCGCAUGGUGCUAUUUGUCAAAGAUUUAUUGCUGAUAGAUGGGCAUGCGUUCCAUUAGGUAGUUGGUGAGGUAACGGCUCACCAAGCCGACGAUGGAUAGGGGAACUGAGAGGUUGGUCCCCCACACUGGUACUGAGACACGGACCAGACUCCUACGGGAGGCAGCAGUGAGGAAUAUUGGUCAAUGGGCGAGAGCCUGAACCAGCCAAGUCGCGUGAAGGAAGAAGGAUCUAUGGUUCGUAAACUUCUUUUGCGGGGGUAUAAAGUGGAGGACGUGUCCUUUUUUGUAUGUACCCUGAGAAUAAGGAUCGGCUAACUCCGUGCCAGCAGCCGCCGUAACAC
rnacentral:rRNA from 1 species